GAUGAACGCUGGCGGCGUGCCUAAUACAUGCAAGUCGAGCGAACAGACGAGGAGCUUGCUCCCCUGACGUUAGCGGCGGACGGGUGAGUAACACGUGGAUAACCUACCUCUAAGACUGGGAUAACUUCGGGAAACCGGAGCUAAUACCAGAUAAUAUGAUGUACCGCAUGGUUCAAUAGUGAAUGACGGCUUUGCUGUCACUUAUAGAUGGUUCCGCGCCGCAUUAGCUAGUUGGUAAGGUAACGGCUUACCAAGGCAACGAUGCGUAGCUGACCUGAGAGGGUGAUCGGCCACACUGGAACUGAGACACGGUCCAGACUCCUACGGGAGGCAGCAGUAGGGAAUCUUCCGCAAUGGGCGAAAGCUUGACGGAGCAACGCCGCGUGAGUGAUGAAGGUCUUCGGAUCGUAAAACUCUGUUAUUAGGGAAGAACAAAUGUGUAAGUAACUAUGCACGUCUUGACGGUACCUAAUCAGAAAGCCACGGCUAACUACGUG
rnacentral:rRNA from 1 species